CUUCCGCGGGGCUGCCUAUUAGCUAACGAGCAUCCUCUGCAAGCUGUGGGUCUGCUGGCGGGCCGCCGGGGCUUCAAAGCAGAAAAAGUCGGGUUCACUUCUAGAGCACGAAGUGAGAAGAAGCAGGGAGGCUUCAUUUUGAGCCUGCCACGGAAUGGUCAACUUCUGCGCGCUCCCCAAAGGAAACGGGAAUGUUGGAAGAGAUUGUUAACCCUUCUGUUGUUUACGAUGUGGCACGGGAUUAGCAGUGGGGCUCCCCCCAGAGCCCGCGCCCCACCGGCGUGCCGGGCGGAUUAUGGCAGGGCAGCAUGCUGACCUCUGCUCUGCUGGGAAACGGAGGCUCCCGAGAUGAUAAGUGGCUCUGGGAAGAAAUUCCUUUCCCCACAUGAGGGAGUGGCGGCGCUGGGCACGUCUGCACCUCUGCACACACGUGGGGACCUGACGUGGAGAGGUGGG
ensembl:lncRNA